rnacentral:rRNA from 1 species
GUAACAAGGUUUCCGUAGGUGAACCUGCGGAAGGAUCAUUAUUGAAUUUUGAAUGGGGUUGUAGCUGGCCUUUCAAAGGGCAUGUGCACGCCUCGCUUCAAUCCACUUACCCCUGUGAACACUCUGUAGGUCGGCUCAAGGGACAAAUUCUUAACGGGGUUUGUUUUGGGCCUUCCUAUGUUUUAUUACAAACGUUUAAAGUCUAAAGAAUGUACUCGCGUCUAACGCAUUAUAUACAACUUUCAGCAACGGAUCUCUUGGCUCUCGCAUCGAUGAAGAACGCAGCGAAAUGCGAUAAGUAAUGUGAAUUGCAGAAUUCAGUGAAUCAUCGAAUCUUUGAACGCACCUUGCGCUCCUUGGUAUUCCGAGGAGCAUGCCUGUUUGAGUGUCAUGGAAUUAUCAACUUGUUUAUCUUUGUAUGAACGCAGUUGGAUUUGGAGGCCAUUGCCGGAUUGUAAUGACUCGGCUCCUCUUGAAUGCAUUAGCUCGAACCUUUGCGGAUCAGCUUUUGGUGUGAUAAUUGUCUACGCCGCUAACUGAGACACAUGAAUGGGAUCGGCUUACAGUCGUCCUUGAACGGACAAUUUAUUAUGACUUCUGACCUCAAAUCAGGUAGGAUUACCCGCUGAACUUAAGCAUAUCAAUA